GAUUAAGUUAUUAAGGGCGCACGGUGGAUGCCUUGGCACUAGAAGCCGAUGAAGGACGUUACUAACGACGAUAUGCUUUGGGGAGCUGUAAGUAAGCUUUGAUCCAGAGAUUUCCGAAUGGGGAAACCCAGCAUGAGUUAUGUCAUGUUAUCGAUAUGUGAAUACAUAGCAUAUCAGAAGGCACACCCGGAGAACUGAAACAUCUUAGUACCCGGAGGAAGAGAAAGAAAAUUCGAUUCCCUUAGUAGCGGCGAGCGAAACGGGAAGAGCCCAAACCAACAAGCUUGCUUGUUGGGGUUGUAGGACACUCUAUACGGAGUUACAAAGGACGACAUUAGACGAAUCAUCUGGAAAGAUGAAUCAAAGAAGGUAAUAAUCCUGUAGUCGAAAAUGUUGUCUCUCUUGAGUGGAUCCUGAGUACGACGGAGCACGUGAAAUUCCGUCGGAAUCUGGGAGGACCAUCUCCUAAGGCUAAAUACUCUCUAGUGACCGAUAGUGAACCAGUACCGUGAGGGAAAGGUGAAAAGCACCCCGGAAGGGGAGUGAAAUAGAACCUGAAACCGUGUGCUUACAAGUAGUCAGAGCCCGUUAAUGGGUGAUGGCGUGCCUUUUGUAGAAUGAACCGGCGAGUUACGAUUUGAUGCAAGGUUAAGCAGUAAAUGUGGAGCCGUAGCGAAAGCGAGUCUGAAUAGGGCGUUUAGUAUUUGGUCGUAGACCCGAAACCAGGUGAUCUACCCUUGGUCAGGUUGAAGUUCAGGUAACACUGAAUGGAGGACCGAACCGACUUACGUUGAAAAGUGAGCGGAUGAACUGAGGGUAGCGGAGAAAUUUCAAUCGAACCUGGAGAUAGCUGGUUCUCUCCGAAAUAGCUUUAGGGCUAGCCUCAAGUGAUGAUUAUUGGAGGUAGAGCACUGUUUGGACGAGGGGCCCCUCUCGGGUUACCGAAUUCAGACAAACUCCGAAUGCCAAUUAAUUUAACUUGGGAGUCAGAACAUGGGUGAUAAGGUCCGUGUUCGAAAGGGAAACAGCCCAGACCACCAGCUAAGGUCCCAAAAUAUAUGUUAAGUGGAAAAGGAUGUGGCGUUGCCCAGACAACUAGGAUGUUGGCUUAGAAGCAGCCAUCAUUUAAAGAGUGCGUAAUAGCUCACUAGUCGAGUGACACUGCGCCGAAAAUGUACCGGGGCUAAACAUAUUACCGAAGCUGUGGAUUGUCCUUUGGACAAUGGUAGGAGAGCGUUCUAAGGGCGUUGAAGCAUGAUCGUAAGGACAUGUGGAGCGCUUAGAAGUGAGAAUGCCGGUGUGAGUAGCGAAAGACGGGUGAGAAUCCCGUCCACCGAUUGACUAAGGUUUCCAGAGGAAGGCUCGUCCGCUCUGGGUUAGUCGGGUCCUAAGCUGAGGCCGACAGGCGUAGGCGAUGGAUAACAGGUUGAUAUUCCUGUACCACCUAUAAUCGUUUUAAUCGAUGGGGGGACGCAGUAGGAUAGGCGAAGCGUGCGAUUGGAUUGCACGUCUAAGCAGUAAGGCUGAGUAUUAGGCAAAUCCGGUACUCGUUAAGGCUGAGCUGUGAUGGGGAGAAGACAUUGUGUCUUCGAGUCGUUGAUUUCACACUGCCGAGAAAAGCCUCUAGAUAGAAAAUAGGUGCCCGUACCGCAAACCGACACAGGUAGUCAAGAUGAGAAUUCUAAGGUGAGCGAGCGAACUCUCGUUAAGGAACUCGGCAAAAUGACCCCGUAACUUCGGGAGAAGGGGUGCUCUUUAGGGUUAACGCCCAGAAGAGCCGCAGUGAAUAGGCCCAAGCGACUGUUUAUCAAAAACACAGGUCUCUGCUAAACCGUAAGGUGAUGUAUAGGGGCUGACGCCUGCCCGGUGCUGGAAGGUUAAGAGGAGUGGUUAGCUUCUGCGAAGCUACGAAUCGAAGCCCCAGUAAACGGCGGCCGUAACUAUAACGGUCCUAAGGUAGCGAAAUUCCUUGUCGGGUAAGUUCCGACCCGCACGAAAGGCGUAACGAUUUGGGCACUGUCUCAACGAGAGACUCGGUGAAAUCAUAGUACCUGUGAAGAUGCAGGUUACCCGCGACAGGACGGAAAGACCCCGUGGAGCUUUACUGUAGCCUGAUAUUGAAAUUCGGCACAGCUUGUACAGGAUAGGUAGGAGCCUUUGAAACGUGAGCGCUAGCUUACGUGGAGGCGCUGGUGGGAUACUACCCUAGCUGUGUUGGCUUUCUAACCCGCACCACUUAUCGUGGUGGGAGACAGUGUCAGGCGGGCAGUUUGACUGGGGCGGUCGCCUCCUAAAAGGUAACGGAGGCGCUCAAAGGUUCCCUCAGAAUGGUUGGAAAUCAUUCAUAGAGUGUAAAGGCAUAAGGGAGCUUGACUGCGAGACCUACAAGUCGAGCAGGGUCGAAAGACGGACUUAGUGAUCCGGUGGUUCCGCAUGGAAGGGCCAUCGCUCAACGGAUAAAAGCUACCCCGGGGAUAACAGGCUUAUCUCCCCCAAGAGUUCACAUCGACGGGGAGGUUUGGCACCUCGAUGUCGGCUCAUCGCAUCCUGGGGCUGUAGUCGGUCCCAAGGGUUGGGCUGUUCGCCCAUUAAAGCGGUACGCGAGCUGGGUUCAGAACGUCGUGAGACAGUUCGGUCCCUAUCCGUCGUGGGCGUAGGAAAUUUGAGAGGAGCUGUCCUUAGUACGAGAGGACCGGGAUGGACAUACCUCUGGUGUACCAGUUGUCGUGCCAACGGCAUAGCUGGGUAGCUAUGUGUGGACGGGAUAAGUGCUGAAAGCAUCUAAGCAUGAAGCCCCCCUCAAGAUGAGAUUUCCCAACUUCGGUUAUAAGAUC
rnacentral:rRNA from 1 species